GCCGGGUAAAGUCAGUUCCUGUAGUCCCAGCUACCAGAAGGCUGCGCCAGGGCAAUUGCUUGAAUCCAGGAAUUCUGGGAUCACUAUGCCAAUAGGGUGACCUCCUGGGAGUGGGAGACCACCAGGUUGUCUAAGGAGGGGUGAACUGGACCAGGUUAGAAACAGAGCAGGUAAAAACUCCUGUGCUGAUUAGUAGUAGAACUGCAUCUGUGAAUAACCAUUGCACUCCAACCUGGGCAACAUAGUGAGACCUGCUUCUU
ensembl:misc_RNA Metazoa_SRP Metazoan signal recognition particle RNA